AUUUGAUGCUGUGACCAGGAAGUGAAGUAUAUGCCAUCCAGCAUGUUCCCUCAUUGCCUUAACUUCAAGGAAAGGAAGGACAAGUUCACGGCCCACUUAUUACAAUCAUUACCGCUCAGAACCUCAUCUUCUGGGAACCAUGAAGACAGCUGUGAAUAUAAUUAAUACACUGCAAAUGCUGGCAAUGGAGCCAGCCCACACAGUAAGAGAGCGAUUGUCAUGAUAAGGAGUAAAUUCCAGCGUCCUUCCUCUGUUCAGAUUCCACUAUCAGCAACUGCAGAGGCUGACUGUAGAAACAGUGAAAAGCCAAGAGGUUAUUUACUGUUGUAACUGGGUUGGAAGGAGAAAAGAUCCAUAAGGUAAAAGGGCAGCACCCUAAUGUUUUCUUUGCCUGCAAGGCAGACACAUCGCUUGGCAGGCUCUUUCUGACCUAAUGCCUUUCCCGAAGUGUGGAGAAUUGAGAGAGGAUCAUGAGAUCACUGUGAAGGGGAAAACCUGCAGCCUGAGCUCCUGACCACAGCCUGGAGGGUGACUCACACUGCAUCCUGGCGAGCUGGUCCUGCUGAGCUGGUCUGAUGGAGAAGUGGCUGCUGUCACCUGUGACUCGGAAAACUAUGACCAAUGGAAGGGUUUCGGAAGGAACUACAGCCGAUGGAAAUGCGUCUUCACUGAGGUGUACACAGAAGUCGUCACUUCUCCCACCUUCUCACAACUCCCAGUGACAUCAUUCCUGUGGCCACACUGAGGGAGUGGAACCCAGCUACAGGAAGUGUCCUUAAAAUGGCAAAGCGAAACUAGGAGAUGAUGUGAUCCUAGUAAGUUUGUCUUUGAUCCAAAGAAACACCUGUGCUGGAGCCAGUUUUACCUUCUGCCCCACCAGGAUUCAAAGUCCUGAAGGUCCAUUCUUUGGUUUCAAGAAGGCAGGACAUCAGGAACUUCCAUCAUGGGAGCAGGUUCAUUUCCAGAAAGAAAAUCCAGUCAGUUUUGCCAAAUGUGAGGAAAAGAGAAAUUGCAAAAAACAAAACAAAACAAAAAACCAAUAAAGC
rnacentral:lncRNA from 1 species